GAAUUUUGAUUUCCGGAUUUUUGGUAUGAUGUUUUCCAAUUCAUUUAAGAUUAAGAAUUCCACUAUUGUUGAACAUCCUUCAAACAUCACACCAUUAUCUUAACCUUGUGACGAGCUUAAAUAUCCAGUCAUGUGUUUGAAACAAAAUUUGACAUUGGAAUUUGACAUUUUUUCCUUAUUCAAUCAUUAGAUUCAAAACAACAAGGCUUUGCACAUGCAUGGGGGUUGUUUGUUGUACAUUGCUUCUAAAGUUCAAAAUAUCAAAUCUAAAAUCUAGACAUGCACACUCAACCCACUUGCUCAUUUCUUACAAGUACCAACACUAACAUAAAUUAUACAAGUUCAUAUAAAACCAUAUAGUUCCAUCUCAAGUACAAAUGAAUGUGUAUCAAACUACAAAGAGAAUCUUUUUAUGUAUUCUUGAAUCCCACAAUGUUUUUGUAUCUACAUGUAUUUAUAUAACCAUGCUACAUAUCCACAUAAAAUAUUAGAUGGGUGAUGUUGAACAUUUUGCAAGUGGCCAAGUGAACAUGAGGAUGAAUAUUCUGUUGGAGGAGGUCAAAUGGGAGCUCAAGAUUUUGCCAUUUCUUAUUUGGUGUUCUCCCACAUUACUCCCCCCCCACUCUUUCAAUGGGAACAAAUAGGGGCUUGUGAUCAUUCUCUUGAAAUCCACAUUGUAUUAUACUCCACCAACAUGCCAAAAAAAAAGUGGCUCCAUCUAAGCAAAAUUCAUAAGAAGAAUAAUAUAAUUACUCCGGCUUUCUUCUGAAGAUUUGUUUUUAAUUUAAUCUAAUUAUUUUUGUUUUUUGUUAAGAUUAAAUAUGAUUUUAUAUAAAAUAUGGUGUGAUUUCACAAAAAUUCUCAAAUCUCAAGUGGAGAUCAUGGAAUUGGUAUCUCUUUAGAUGUUGAAUGUAGAUUGCCAACUUGAAAAUAGAAGAGAGAUUCCCUUGGGCAUGAAACAUUUGAGGCUUUUCAUUGUUUGGCACAACAUCUAUGGUCAAGGAUUUUAAUGUGAGCCUGGAGAAACACUAUUCCAUGCAGUUACAUACUUUGUCUUUACAAAAAUAAAUUAAAAUAAUAAUACCAAUAAUAGUUUACAAAGAACAACACAAAAAUGAAGGUCAAAAAAUGAAAAGAAAGAGAGAAGACAAUAUAAUUUAUCUUGGUAGAUUUAAUAAUGAUAACAACAAUUAGUGUUAUUAUAUAAAUAUGACAAAGACAUUUUGUGGGGUUUUAGAUUGCAGAUGUGGACCAAAUGAAAUGAGCAACUUGAUUAGUAUUCAAAUUUGAGGCUUGAUAUUUAUUUUUUAAUUUCAAUUCUUAAAUAAGAUUGAAGACUGUACUAAAAAAAUUAAUGGAUUUUAAUUUUCAGAGAAUUCUUAACCAUUUUGACAUCUUGUGCUGUCUUGGAAUUGCAUCAAAUGUUACUUUAACUUGCAUUUUUACAAAGAUAAUUUUAACUCAAUAUUCAUUCUUUAUAUACGUUCUAACAACCAUUAACAGUCAUACAACUGCUGCAAUACCAGAAUGAGUUCAAAUGAUAUGGUAGUAGAUGAACAUAAAAUUAUAUGUAGCAUAGUGGUACUUACCCUGUUUUAUUGAUCAUCCUUCCAAUCUUCAUUUUUUAAAACACAUCAAAGCCCUAACUUAUUGAAGAUGUAUAUGUUUAACCUUCAAAACUUGAACAAGAAAUUUUAGAAUUAGAAUCUUACAAGUUUGAACUACUUCCAAAAGAAAUUGCAUAUUACUUUAUUAAAAAAAAUUGAGAUUUUGAUUGACCUUCUAAAUUACAUAUACAUACAAGGACUCUCUUUACAUAGAACCAACUAUUCUUUCAAAU
rnacentral:lncRNA from 1 species